rnacentral:rRNA from 1 species
GACGAACGCUGGCGGCGUGCUUAACACAUGCAAGUCGAACGAAGUGGCGAACGGGUGAGUAACGCGUAAUCAACCUGCCCUUCAGAGGGGGACACUAGUUGGAAACGACUGCUAAUACCGCAUACUGAAGGAGGGGAUCGCGUCUGAUUAGCUAGUGGGAGGGGUAACGGCCCACCAAGGCGAUGAUCAGUAGCGGGUGUGGGAGGUAGAACGGCACAAGUGGGGCGGGGAAAAGGCCAAGACUUCUACGGGAGGAAGCAGGGGGGAAUCUUCCGCAAUGGAGGAAAGUCUGACGGAGCAACGCCGCGUGAGUGAUGACGGCCUUCGGGUUGUAAAGCUCUGUUAAUCGGGACGCGGUACCGGAAUAGAAAGCCACGGCUAACUACGUGCCAGCAGCCGCGGUAAUAC